AUUAAACGCUGGCGGCAUGCCUUACACAUGCAAGUCGAACGGCAGCGACGGGGCAACCUGGUGGCGAGUGGCGAACGGGUGAGUAAAGCAGUCGGAACGUGCCCUGGAGGUGGGGGAUAACGUAGCGAAAGUUACGCUAAUACCGCAUAUUCUGUGAGCAGGAAAGCAGGGGAUCGCAAGACCUUGCGCUCUGGGAGCGGCCGAUGUCGGAUUAGCUAGUUGGUGGGGUAAAGGCCUACCAAGGCGACGAUCCGUAGCGGGUCUGAGAGGAUGAUCCGCCACACUGGGACUGAGACACGGCCCAGACUCCUACGGGAGGCAGCAGUGGGGAAUUUUGGACAAUGGGCGCAAGCCUGAUCCAGCCAUGCCGCGUGAGUGAAGAAGGCCUUCGGGUUGUAAAGCUCUUUCGGCCGGGAAGAAAUCGCAUGGGUCAAUACCCUGUGUGGAUGACGGUACCGGAAUAAGAAGCACCGGCUAACUACGUG
rnacentral:rRNA from 1 species